UACGUAGGGUGCGAGCGUUAAUCGGAAUUACUGGGCGUAAAGCGUGCGCAGGCGGUAAUGCAAGACAGAUGUGAAAUCCCCGGGCUUAACCUGGGAACUGCAUUUGUGACUGCAUUGCUGGAGUGCGGCAGAGGGGGAUGGAAUUCCGCGUGUAGCAGUGAAAUGCGUAGAGAUCGGGAAGAACAUCAGUGGCGAAGGCGGCCUGCUGGGCUGUUGCUGACGCUGAGGCGCGACAGCGCGGGGAGCAAACAGG
rnacentral:rRNA from 1 species